rnacentral:rRNA from 1 species
UACGUAGGGUCCGAGCGUUGUCCGGAAUUAUUGGGCGUAAAGGGCUCGUAGGCGGUCCGUCACGUCGGGAGUGAAAACUCAGGGCUCAACCCUGAGCGUGCUUCCGAUACGGGCGGACUAGAGGUAUGCAGGGGAGAACGGAAUCCUGGUGUAGCGGUGGAAUGCGCAGAUAUCAGGAGGAACACCGGUGGCGAAGGCGGUUCUCUGGGCAUUACCUGACGCUGAGGAGCGAAAGCAUGGGGAGCGAACAGG